GUGCCAGCAGCCGCGGUAAUACGGAGGGGGCUAGCGUUGUUCGGAAUUACUGGGCGUAAAGCGCACGUAGGCGGACCAGUCAGUUGGGGGUGAAAUCCCGGGGCUCAACCCCGGAACUGCCUCCAAAACUGCUGGUCUGGAGGUCGAGAGAGGCGAGUGGAAUUCCGAGUGUAGAGGUGAAAUUCGUAGAUAUUCGGAGGAACACCAGUGGCGAAGGCGGCUCGCUGGCUCGAUACUGACGCUGAGGUGCGAAAGCGUGGGGAGCAAACAGGAUUAGAUACCCCCGUAGUCC
rnacentral:rRNA from 1 species